AACUGUGCAAAGGUAGCAUAAUCACUAGUCUAUUAAUUUUAGGCUUGCAUAAAUGGUUGGACAAGGAGAAAACUUUCUCAAUCUAAAACAUUAAACUUAACCAUUAAGUGAAAAGGCUUAAAUAAUUUAGGGGGACGAUAAGACCCUAUAAAACUUUACACUAAACAGGUAAAUUCCAAAUUAUUUAUAAAUAUUCAUUUACCUCUUAUGUGUUUCAUUGGGGCGAUGAAAGCAUAAUAAUUAACUGCUUUUUAUAUAAACAAAUAUAUUUGAUAUUUUAAUCCUUUAUAAAGAACACAUAAAGUUACUUUAGGGAUAACAGCGUUUUUUUUUUUUUAGAGUCCUUAUCAACAAAAAAAUUGCGACCUCGAUGUUGAAUUAAAUUCCAUUUAAGUGCAGCAGCUUAUUACAGGAGGUCUGUUCGACCUA
rnacentral:rRNA from 1 species